rnacentral:lncRNA from 1 species
GUGAAAUAUUCCAUAGGCAAAUAUUUUUGUACAAAUAUUUUUAUAGGGAGUCUACAUUAAAAAAAAAAAAGCCUACUUUAAAUAAAUGAGACAGACUUAGACGUUUUUGCAUCUGAAAUCUUCACAUGCAAUCUGUACUUCAUUAUACUGCAAAUCUACAGUUGUACUUCACUGUACUACAGUUUUACUGCUGUUGAACUUGAAUGAACUGCAGUUAUAUACUUCAUUAUACUUCAAAUCUCCAGUUAUACUACUUUGUACUGCAGUUAUUUUUUGUAAGGGACAUGCUAAUGUUAUCAGACAAACAUACAGCAAUAGCUACAAUAAAGGAGAGGAGUGCAGCUGGAGAGAGAGAGAUGAGGAGCCGCCAGACUGAUUUGAAACAUGCUGCUGAUCAAAGUUAGAUAUCAGGACUCCAGGAAAUUUAUCAGACUUCAGGAUGGAUUCACUUUUGCAGACUUUGUUAAUGAAGUCCACAGUAGGUUUGGCCUACCACCUGAGACAAAUCUACACAUUUAUGACGACACUGAAACUGAGAUAGACGAGGACAUUUUACAAGAUGUGCUCAAUGCGAGACCUGAUACGUCGCUCAUUAUUGUUAGAAGAGAGAAUGAAGAAAUGUUAUCAGAUGCAACAAGCAACUCUUGGACUGACAUUUUGUCACUUAGUCAUUCAUCAUAUGAACUUGACCAAAUGCCAGAACGACCUUACAAGAAAUCUAAGAGACAUGAUGCAGCAGCUGAGGCAAAAGAGAUGGUUCGUAGUGCCCUAAAGCAGACAAGUGGAGGAGAUGCUGUCCUUGCUGAAUACAGUUCCAAAAAUACACUUUCAAGUGAAAUGAGACGAGUCCUAGUCAACAUUUUAGUUGGACAUAUGGUGGAAAUGCAUGGGUAAAACUGCUUUUUAUUUGCUCUUAAAUACUCAUAGGCAUGACAG